AAAUCAUCUAAGAUCGAUUAAUCAAUAAUAAUCAUUUAGCAAUGGCUGUCAGCAAGAAUAUGUUUGCAAUUUUUCUUAUUAUUGCAUUAGUUCAUAUUAUGGCUAGCUUUGAUAUUGUUGCUGCAGAUUGCAUAGGCUACGGCGAAACAUGUAAUCCUCUUCCAUUCACUGCUAGCUGUUGUGGACGCAAUACAUGUCAAUGGGCACUGUUUACCAGAUUCAUGUGUUUACCUCCAAGGGGGUAAUAAUUAAGGGGAUCGGACUAAAAUAUAUAUCGCUAUACAAUAUAAUGAUUUGAAGUACUACGUUCAUUUGGCUAUUUAUUUUUGUAUUUUGAGUUUUUUUCUCUUGUUGGAUUGGUUUGACUUUCAUUUCUUCUUUUUCUUUUUAUUUUGUGAUCGAUAUUUUAUGGUUUGUUAUUUUUAUUCAGUAUUUUAUUUUGUUGACUUUUAUUGUAAACUUAAACUUUAUUAUGUAGACUUUAUUUUGUUGUAUCUUUGAAUUUUAAUAUAUCUUUUGGUUUGUCGCCAUAUUUGAUCGAGGGGAAGAUGACAUAUAUUAA